rnacentral:lncRNA from 1 species
CUAGAAAAGAAAUGAAGAAAGAUGAUAUUGAGUUGAUUAUCUAAGCACUUAUUUUGCUAUCAAAAUGAAAUGCUGAGGCUCCUAAUUUAAUAUUUGAAUUAGAUUUAUUUACAUUUCUAUUUAAAGGGAAUACUAAAACUGCACACAGGAUAAAUAUAAUAUUACAUGCACAUCUGCUCCCCCUUCCACCACAUAAGUAAAGGAAUAAUUACCACAC